UUGGCGCAUGCGCACUUUCAGUUUCCAAAUCAAUGGCCAGGGUGAAGUCGGGACCAGGGUAAUUUUGUCGAAAUGGUCUUGUUAUACGUUCACAGAAGUUUCCUUAAUACAACGUUUUUUUUUUUGUCCGUAGGCAGCAAAGUAAAUACGUUUAUACAUCCCUAGUGACCCUGUGAAAGGUGACAAGCGCAACAACAACAAAAAACCCAGCAGGUUGUGUGGAUUUUAGGUUCUAUUGAAUUGUACUUUCACUAUGUGGAGGUCCUGAGGCACAUCUCUGGGGUCCAGAAGUUUGACAUGGGCAUCCUAUGCGUGGACAACCGCAGGAUUCAGCGCUUCAUCCACAUCUACAGGAAGAAGAGGCAGCCCACAGCUGUGCUGGCCUUCCCUUACUGUGAGGCACAGCUGCUGUCACGCUCGAGUUGUUAUUUGGCUAUACACACUACUUUCCUCAUUGACAGGAGGAAGUACAUGGCCUGAAAUGUGUUAUAUAUAAACACUGGCCGUUGACAGGUGGCUAGAGCAUGUCUUGGUUUUGGUGGCAGUUGAAGUAACCCAUGUCUUGCCAGUUAAAGGAAAAAUAAUGGCUGAAGUUUGUGAUUUUCCAAGGAUCUGAGGCCAAAUCCCAUGUGCCCUCCAAAGAGAGGAGUAUAACUUAGGCGACAUCUUCUUAGGUGUAGAGUACGUAAUGCAACAGUGUAAAGAGACAUCCCAGGAUCUUCAUGAAGCACUUACAGUGGUCACAGCUCAUGGGAUCUGCCACUUACUGGGGCACAGACACGAAACUGAAGAGGAGUGGAACGAGAUGCAGCAGAAAGUAAGUUACAUUCUCAGCGAGUUCAACAGGCAGCCACCUCGAGCCACUCACAAAGAGAAGCGCGUAGGACACCAGACCGAUUCUUGAAAGAAACUCUUGGGCCGUAAAUGGGUCCGGUGACACAUUUGCUGCUAACACGCACUACUGAGAAGUCUGAAUUAAAGCCAAAUGAAAAACUCCUUUUUUUUCUAAAUAAAUUUUAUUUAAAAUGUGUUUAAGGAAGUCUGAAUACUAAGCAAUUAAGUCGAGCUUAUACCACUGUUUCAGAGAACACCAUACACACAAUGUCCAACUCUUCCAUGAACCUACUCGGAUGAUCGGAACAGAAAACAUGAAUACAGUGGUUACCAAAGACAUGAAAAUGAGAAGGACAGUACGGUACAAAUCAGACAAAGAACAAGAUCCUAAAAUAAAUAACAUCAGCGGACUUCAUGUGAAGCGCUCUCAUCCGAUGCUUCCUAUAUUCAGUAAAGAGCGUUUUUCAUUUGAGGUCUUUCUGAAGACAGAUAUUCUACACAAUGGCUGUGCAACUUCACACUGUAAAGCUCUAUAGAGUAGAAAAAACUAAAUUAUUUCACUAGGUCUGUAGGUGUUGAAGAGGCAUAAAGAUUCUUAAAGUGAGAUCUUUAAAAAAAGACAAGCUACAUCCAUACCACGGAGCUUGUUAGAUUAACGGUUAUAAAAUAAGAAUAAAACGACAAACAGUCAUCAGUAAAGCCUUGAAUAUAAAUCAGUACUAUUCCAAGUCUCUCUUCAUCGCUAUAGGUCAUAUAAAAGCCAACUGGCAAAGCAAAUAUUGCACCACAUUUUCAGCUGCAUAUCAAACAAGACAGACACCCCAUAUUCCACCCAAACAUAUACAAGAAUAAAUUUUUAUAUGCAAUAGAUCAGAAAUUUAAAAUUUGCAGAGGGGAAAGGGGAGAAAAAAAAAUUAUAGAGAACAAGCUCUCAAUAUUUCUUAAUGCAAAAGUUUACCAGAGGGUCUUUUCAACAAAGUAUUUAAAAUAAAAAAA